AAUAUUGACUGGGGGAGCCGGAAGGCUGAGAGUCCUGAACAGGACGACCCUUAUCACCUGAUCUCGAUAAUGCGAGCGUAGGGAAGUGAGAGUAUUGAAAC
rnacentral:ncRNA from 2 species